UAAAGCGCUGUGUGUGCCCAUAGGAAACAAUGGGAGGCAACAGAGAUUCUGCCUCCGACACACUCAAGAAAUUGCAAAACCUGAGCAGUGCCCACAAACUUCGAUCACCGCAGCACCUCCAAAAAGUAAAAGCUUAUGUGUCACAUGAAAAUGGCAGAGUGGGCCUGUUGGUACAUGAAUCCCCCUUUCCCCUCGGCAACUCCUAUGUAAGGAUUGCUGCCACUAAAAAAUCUGUUGAUAGU